ACAUGAUGCCUUUCUUCCUCAGAUGUGGAAGUUCACACAGAGCCGAUGGGUGGUAAGAAAGGAGGUGGCAGCAGUGACCAAACUCUGCGCUGAGGAUGUGAAGGACUUUCUGGAACACAUGGCUGUAGUGAGGAUCAACAGAGGCUGGGAGUUCUUACUGCCUUACGACCUGGAGUUUAUCAAGAAGCAUCCAGAUGUGGUCCAGCGGCAACACAUGCUGUGGUCGGGCAUCCAGGCCAAAUUAGAAAAAGUCUAUAA
rnacentral:lncRNA from 1 species